rnacentral:tRNA from 1 species
GGGCUGGGGCCCAGUGGUAGGGCGCUCACCUCGCAUGCCUGAGGCACUGGGUUGGAUCCUCAGCACCACA